AUAUUAUAGACAAUGACGUGGAUGGAGAGACUGUUGACAUCGGAAUGACUGAGUCUAUGAUUUCAUUCCUCUUUGAGGGAUCAUUUAAAAAAACAAGCAAAAUUCCAUGGAUUUGUUCAGCAGAUGAAGGAGAUAGUGACAUUAACUCUUGAACCUGUGCCUGAAAGCCAGUCAAGAGCUGGAGCAAGUAAUAUCAGCCCGUCAACAGCUUUCCCUGAAUUUUUUGAAGUUCUGAAGUUCCCAUUUGAAGUUCAGGCCAAGUUGGACCGAAAAGAAUGCAGACUAACGUCAUCAGACCGAAACAAAAUUAUUAGAACGUUGUAUGAAAGCGUGGCUCAGUACAAAAUGUAUCUAACUACAGAAGAGUAUGUUCAAGUGGCUAAGGCCCUGACUCUGAGCACACUUGGCACGUCUCUGAAACGCAAGUUUAAAUUUGAGCGGACACCUUUGGCUGAUGUUGAAGAAGUGAAAAGACUUUGGUCAUUCAAAAAAAGUCUGCAACCUGAAGAAAGCAGUUGCAAAGAAAUUACAAGGCCUUUGGAGAAUAAUGCUGUUGGAGAGGAUGCUACAUCAAUAGAGGGACAUGUGAAAGUCCUGCAGGACCAAUAUAGAAGGACACAGUCAGAGACUCACAUUGUUGAAUAUCGAAUGAGGAGGAACUUUGCCUGGAGGCGGCAGGAGAUUACUAGUGGUAUGACUGUUGAAGAUGUCAACAAAUAUCCAUCAGGGCCUUAUCAAGAAAUUGGUUUCCUGUAUAAAUGUGUUCAACUGAGCCGCCACUUUCGAGAACAUUUUGGACACAUUACAUCCAGCGUGCUACGGCUUGCUCAAGGGAAAUCCCCUUUAGCAAAGCUGCACAAAGAAGCUAGAGAAGAAUCUCUCAUUGAAGACCAUCUUGGAAUUGAUUUUAAAGCAGCACUUCUCGUGUUGCCAGCCUUGUUCAGAGAGAAACUUGAACAUUUCAUUGUGCUUGGAGAGAGUGAACCAUCUUCACCAUAUCAUACUGUUCAAGUAGAGGAGACCACUGACUGGAAAACUGUGUUUACAAGAAGAGUCACUGCAGUCAUCAGAGUUGAUGGGAUCGAGAUAGACGAACGGUGUGGAUGAAGGGGCUCUUGCAGCAUUUUGUGCUUAUUUCGUCUUCAAUUUGACAUAUCCAUCCCAUUUGAAGAACACCCUGGUGUUUCUUCAGUGGUAUGUUUUGAGAGUUACUGUGGAUGGUGACAAGCCUCUACCUACCCCAGUUACCAGAAUAAUCAACCUUCUUAACUCAACAUUCUUAACAUAGACACAGACUGGUUAUUGUGUGGCAAGCUUUUAAUUCCUGGGGUUUUUUUGUCGUCAUUUUUACUCAUACUGUGUGAAAUGAGAAUGAAUGGACUGUCCUCUUGCCAGGUGAAGAGGUUGAUUACCAGGCAUUAGAUACCUACAAUGUUGAUGACAAGUUAUUUAUUAGCACUAGAUAUUCUUGCUGAAGACAAACUGCUGCAAACUUCAAAAUGUGCAGUACUUGAUGUAGCCUGUGUAAUAAGGCUGCUUUACUUGUUUGAGUUUUUCAUUGAAGAGCUAGUUUUUUCUUGACACGCUGUUGUGAGAUGUAAUGAAAUCUUUUUAAAAGAACAUUUCUAAAUAAAAUUGUGUAUUUGUCAGCCA
ensembl:lncRNA